CAGGGCCCUCCCUGAGCCCAUGAAGCCCCAACCUAGCCCUCUCAGUCGGUCAUUUCUGGGGCAUCCCCUGCUGUCCCUCCAAGGAGAUUGAAACAGUUUGGUUCUCUCUGAGAGCUUCUGUUUGCAGGGAGGAGUUUGUCACACAUGCUAAUGAACAGCCAGGUGACAAGCAGACUGGGACAGAAGGGCCGGGGUGGCUCUGUGAAUCCUUCCUGUCUGUACUGAUAAGAUGCGGACAAACCAGUGGACAAACCAGUGACGAGGCAGCUGUCUCCUGAACUGAGCAGAAGAGCUGGAGCCAGACACGGCGCAGAAAGGAGUCUGGGGCGGAGAGACAGAGACCAACGUCUGCUUAAUUGAAUCAGCGACCAUGACGCUGUUCACUCCCUCCACACCGUCUGCACCAGAGGAGCUCCAGAGAAGCAGGCCUGUCUGGCAGCAGCCUGUGGACACUCCCACCCAGUGGGUCUUCACCCCACAGGCCAGACUGAUCCCAACGUCCCUUCUCCAAACCAGCAUCUGCUCCUGGUCCCUUGUCUCCCCAAGGGGCCUGGCCCUGUGUCCGGUCAUUGGGGCUGUCAAAUGUGGGCCCCCCUGCUCCUUGAUCUGGAGUCACCCAGCCUAGCACGUGGCCCUCCACUGUCACCUGAUCUGCGCCCUCUUAGCGCACCCAGUCAUGCCCUCGCUUCUUGCCUGGAUUUGUCCAAGUUCAGUCCCACAAUGAACUACCAGCCGGGGAACUUGGGCAAGGGACUCUCCUCCGCCGCGGAGAUAUUUUCACCUAAAAAAUGGGGAAAGUGAUGCUUUCUGCUUUCUAAUGAGGUAAAGGUAACCCACGGGGACAGGUACCGAUAUGUCAUAUGUCACCGCAGAGUGCUCAGCCCAUGCCAAACAAAUGCUAAUCCAGCUCCCCACACCCCUCCAUGCUCCCUCAGCCCCGUUCUCCAUCUCCGUACACCGUUUAUCCCCAGAUCAAACCCGAGUUCUAGAGACAUAGCUCGCAACACACCCUGCAAUGUUCUGCCUCCAACAAUCCAGCGGCAGAGGUGAUACGCGUCUUUUCGAAACUCCUUAAGCCAAGUUGACAUUGUAUAAAAUGAUCUGGUUGUUUUGCUUUAUCUAAAGUAUUCACAUCAGGUGAAUACCUGAAUUUUUAAAAAUAAUUAUAAUUUCUGAAAGCUUGUCUCAGGAAGUUUUUAUAAAACAAAGCAAAAAGAACUCAUUCCUGCCAGGCAUGAUCCUUCCUUCCCACUCUGCUUUUGGGAGGAUUUGCAAUUCAAAUUGAAAAUAAACUUUCUUUUCACAGGGCAAACACAUUCCCUCUAGCAAUUAAACUCAUUUUUUGGCUAAAUCCCCUGGGGUGUGGUG